GAUGCCUCUAACUCUAAUCAUUCUAUCACCAAGUGGCCGUCCUCAUUUCCUAUUUCUUCCCCUGUUCUCUCAAACCCUGCAAACCCAUCAAUCCAAAACCUUGCACAAAAUCAAACCCAAAUCACCCCUUCUGUCCCUUCUAACCGCGAAUCUUGCCGAUUCCUUUCCUUUCUCAUCACUCCGAUUCAAAUCACAAACCCCAGAACCCUAGACCUAAAAAGUGCAAUCUGGGAUUUUAUUCAUCAUCCCCCUAUCCGAUCAAAUCGAAGCAUGCAUGACCAUGUCUUCUACCUCAUAAUCAUCAUAUGUUGUCCAGAGGUCAAACACCGUGACCUUAGGAUAUGGAGCUCUAACCGAUAUUUCUUCAGUACUCCAAUGGUUGACCUUCUCCUCCCAUCGGGCUAAGUCUGGCAAGUUCCUUUGGAAAUCAAACCCAAGUUCCAGGUCUGGGUCACUUCCUCUGCACUUGUUGAGUCUGCUGCUUGUUUGAAUCCGGAUGAGCUUGACUACUAACGAGCCCAAUAUCAAGAGUUAAAAUCUCCCCUCCUCUCAUUUUUUAAUAUUAGCUAUUGCUAUUUGUUGAUUAUGUGUAUGUCUUUGAAACUAACAUUACUAUUGGAUAUUGUUUUGUUAUUUUGAUUGUUUAGGAAACAUAAGAAACCAAGACUUGUAGUUAAAAGGUCAAACUAGAUUAUAAGAUUCGCUUACUUUUGUUACUCUAA